rnacentral:rRNA from 1 species
GACGAACGCUGGCGGCGUGCUUAACACAUGCAAGUCGAGCGGAAAGGCCCUGCUUUUGUGGGGUGCUCGAGUGGCGAACGGGUGAGUAACACGUGAGUAACCUGCCCUUGACUUUGGGAUAACUUCAGGAAACUGGGGCUAAUACCGGAUAGGAGCUCCUGCUGCAUGGUGGGGGUUGGAAAGUUUCGGCGGUUGGGGAUGGACUCGCGGCUUAUCAGCUUGUUGGUGGGGUAGUGGCUUACCAAGGCUUUGACGGGUAGCCGGCCUGAGAGGGUGACCGGCCACAUUGGGACUGAGGUACGGCCCAGACUCCUACGGGAGGCAGCAGUGGGGAAUAUUGCACAGUGGGCGGAAGCCUGAUGCAGCAACGCCGCGUGCGGGAUGACGGCCUUCGGGUUGUAAACCGCUUUCGCCUGUGACGAAGCGUGAGUGACGGUAAUGGGUAAAGAAGCACCGGCUAACUACGUG